GAGUUUGAUCCUGGCUCAGAUUGAACGCUGGCGGCAGGCCUAACACAUGCAAGUCGAGCGGAAACGAGUUAACUGAACCUUCGGGGAACGUUAACGGCGUCGAGCGGCGGACGGGUGAGUAAUGCCUGGGAAAUUGCCCUGAUGUGGGGGAUAACCAUUGGAAACGAUGGCUAAUACCGCAUAAUAGCUUCGGCUCAAAGAGGGGGACCUUCGGGCCUCUCGCGUCAGGAUAUGCCCAGGUGGGAUUAGCUAGUUGGUGAGGUAAUGGCUCACCAAGGCGACGAUCCCUAGCUGGUCUGAGAGGAUGAUCAGCCACACUGGAACUGAGACACGGUCCAGACUCCUACGGGAGGCAGCAGUGGGGAAUAUUGCACAAUGGGCGCAAGCCUGAUGCAGCCAUGCCGCGUGUAUGAAGAAGGCCUUCGGGUUGUAAAGUACUUUCAGCAGUGAGGAAGGUGGGUAUGUUAAUAGCAUACUCAUUUGACGUUAGCUGCAGAAGAAGCACCGGCUAACUCCGUGCCAGCAGCCGCGGUAAUACGGAGGGUGCGAGCGUUAAUCGGAAUUACUGGGCGUAAAGCGCAUGCAGGUGGUUUGUUAAGUCAGAUGUGAAAGCCCGGGGCUCAACCUCGGAAUUGCAUUUGAAACUGGCAAACUAGAGUACUGUAGAGGGGGGUAGAAUUUCAGGUGUAGCGGUGAAAUGCGUAGAGAUCUGAAGGAAUACCGGUGGCGAAGGCGGCCCCCUGGACAGAUACUGACACUCAGAUGCGAAAGCGUGGGGAGCAAACAGGAUUAGAUACCCUGGUAGGCCACGCCGUAAACGAUGUCUACUUGGGAGGUUGUGGCCUUGAGCCGUGGGCUUUCGGAGUCUAACGCGUUUAAGUAUACCGCCCUGGGGGAGGACGGGCCGCAGAUCAAAAACUCCAAAUGAAUUGACCGGGGGGGCCCGCCCCAAGGCGGGGGGAGACCGGG
rnacentral:rRNA from 1 species